UUUUUUGAGAGUUUGAUCCUGGCUCAGGAUGAACGCUGGCGGCGUGCCUUAGGCAUGCAAGUCGAACGGGAGCCGUAAGGCUCAAGUGGCAGACGGGUGAGUAACGCGUAGGAAUCUACCCCUGGGUGGACCAUAGCUCAUCGAAAGAUGGGGUAAUAGUUCAUAGUUUCGUAAGAAUAAAGCGAUUAACGUCGCGCCGAGGGAGGAGCCUGCGUCCUAUCAGCUAGUUGGCGGGGUAAAUGCCCACCAAGGCGAUGACGGGUAGCUGGACUGAGAGGUCGAUCAGCCACAACUGCACUGAGAUACGGGCAGUACACCUACGGGUGGCAGCAACCAGGAAUAUUGCGCAAUGGACGAAAGUCUGACGCAGCGACGCCGCGUGGGGGACGAAGGUUCUCGGAUCGUAAACCCCUUUUCUGUGGGAAGAUAAUGACGGUACCACAGG
rnacentral:rRNA from 1 species